rnacentral:rRNA from 1 species
UACGUAGGGCGCAAGCGUUGUCCGGAAUUAUUGGGCGUAAAGAGCUCGUAGGCGGUUUGUCGCGUCUGCUGUGAAAGACCGGGGCUCAACUCCGGUUCUGCAGUGGGUACGGGCAGACUAGAGUGUGGUAGGGGAGACUGGAAUUCCUGGUGUAGCGGUGGAAUGCGCAGGUAUCAGGAGGAACACCGAUGGCGAAGGCAGGGCUCUGGGCCAUUACCGACACUGAGAAGCGAAAGCAUGGGGAGCGAACAGG